rnacentral:rRNA from 1 species
UACGUAGGGUGCGAGCGUUGUCCGGAAUUAUUGGGCGUAAAGGGCUCGUAGGCGGUUUGUCGCGUCGGGAGUGAAAUCCACUGGCUUAACUGGUGGCUUGCUUUCGAUACGGGCAGACUGGAGGUAUGCAGGGGAGAACGGAAUUCCUGGUGUAGCGGUGAAAUGCGCAGAUAUCGGGAGGAACACCGGUGGCGAAGGCGGGCCUCUGGGCAGUAACUGACGCUGAGGAGCGAAAGCGUGGGGAGCGAACAGG